rnacentral:sRNA from 1 species
AUUGGGUGCAGUGAUGAGCACCUGUAGUCCUAGCUGUUCUGGAGGCUGAGGCAGGAGGAUCACUUGAAUCUAGGAGUUCAAGGUCAGCCUUAACAAUGUAGUGAAAUCCUGUCUCCA